AGUGAACGCUGGCGGUAGGCCUAACACAUGCAAGUCGAACGGCAGCACAGUAAGAGCUUGCUCUUACGGGUGGCGAGUGGCGGACGGGUGAGGAAUACAUCGGCAUCUACUUUUUCGUGGGGGAUAACGUAGGAAAACUUACGCUAAUACCGCAUACGACCUACGGGUGAAAGCAGGGGAUCUUCGGACCUUGCGCGAUUGAAUGAGCCGAUGUCGGAUUAGCUAGUUGGCGGGGUAAAGGCCCACCAAGGCGACGAUCCGUAGCUGGUCUGAGAGGAUGAUCAGCCACACUGGAACUGAGACACGGUCCAGACUCCUACGGGAGGCAGCAGUGGGGAAUAUUGGACAAUGGGCGCAAGCCUGAUCCAGCCAUACCGCGUGGGUGAAGAAGGCCUUCGGGUUGUAAAGCCCUUUUGUUGGGAAAGAAAAGCAGCAGGUGAAUACCCCGCUGUUCUGACGGUACCCAAAGAAUAAGCACCGGCUAACUUCGUG
rnacentral:rRNA from 1 species